rnacentral:rRNA from 1 species
CUCUGUGACUCCUACGGGAGGCAGCAGUGGGGAAUAUUGCACAAUGGGGGAAACCCUGAUGCAGCCAUGCCGCGUGUGUGAAGAAGGCCUUCGGGUUGUAAAGCACUUUCAGUAGGGAGGAAGGUAGUGUAGUUAACACCUGCAUUAUUUGACGUUACCUACAGAAGAAGCACCGGCUAACUCCGUGCCAGCAGCCGCGGUAAUACGGAGGGUGCGAGCGUUAAUCGGAAUUACUGGGCGUAAAGCGCAUGCAGGCGGCCUGUUAAGUCAGAUGUGAAAGCCCCGGGGCUUAACCUCGGAAUUGCAUUUGAAACUGGCAGGCUAGAGUCUUGUAGAGGGGGUAGAAUUUCAGGUGUAGCGGUGAAAUGCGUAGAGAUCUGAAGGAAUACCAGUGGCGAAGGCGGCCCCCUGGACAAAGACUGACGCUCAGAUGCGAAAGCGUGGGGAGCAAACAGGAUUAGAUACCCUGGUGG